rnacentral:rRNA from 1 species
UACAGAGGUCUCGAGCGUUAGGCGGAACCACUGGGCUUAAAGCGUGUGUAGGCGGAUCGUUAAGUACCUUGUGAAAUCCCACGGCUUAACCGUGGAACUGCUUGGUAUACUGGCGGUCUUGAGCCAGCUAGGGGCUACCGGAACAAAUGGUGGAGCGGUGAAAUGCGUAGAUAUCAUUUGGAACGCCAAUGGUGAAAACAGGUAGCUGGGGCUGUGCUGACGCUGAGACACGAAAGCCAGGGGAGCAAACGGG